CUGGCAAUCCUGCUUCAGCCUCUACCAUACAGGUGGCAAGUCUGAGCCGGCCUCGAGACUGCAUCCGUUUCCAGCGCAGCGGCCGGGAUUUGCGCUGUCUCCGUCCGUGCUUCUGGGCGCCGUGAGGAGAGGGUCUUCAGGCGCGGCGGCUCGGCUUCGCGGACAGCCCCGGCCAAGGGCUUCCGCCGUCGACCCAGCCUCACUGUCUGCGCCUCCUUCGCCUCCCGCAUCGCCGCCGCCUCUAGGACGGACCUAGCCGCAAACGCCCCAGCUCGCCAUCCCCGGGCAAAGGCCUGCCACCCAUCUUAGCUAUCGUCUCCGCCAUGCCCUGGCAACGCUUCCCCCCACUUCCGGUAACGACUGCGACCCCGGAGCUCACUUCUGGCUACCAGGCCGCCGUGCUUUUCCGGAGGUAACGCGGCUCUUCCUGCGGGGAGCUCUAGAGCAGAGAAGGCAGCCCCCGCCCUUGGCAGCCCUGGGCUGUGUCCGACUGGGCUAGGCCUGUGCGCAGGCGCAUUGGGUGGAGAGACCUGGACCUGUGCGGGAGAUUCGAGGAUGCCGAGAGCAAGGUUCUCAGUCAACCUGGGUGACAGAACUUAUCUCAAAAACAAAACAAAAACCUGGAGGCAGACGUGUCCCCCUCCUUCCUCAGAUUUCCUUAAAUGCCUUUUUUCCGGGAAGCCGGCUCACGACUUGAGAAGUCAGUUUCCCCUGUUACAGCUCUUCUUACAUUUUUUUCUCUGCAGCACUUAACAUAAACGUAAUUCAAUAAAUGUGGAAUUGCUUGUUUAA